rnacentral:rRNA from 1 species
GACGAACGCUGGCGGCGUGCUUAACACAUGCAAGUCGAACGGAAAGGCCCUGCUUUUGUGGGGUGCUCGAGUGGCGAACGGGUGAGUAACACGUGAGUAACCUGCCCUUGACUUUGGGAUAACUUCAGGAAACUGGGGCUAAUACCGGAUAGGAGCUCCUGCUGCAUGGUGGGGGUUGGAAAGUUUCGGCGGUUGGGGAUGGACUCGCGGCUUAUCAGCUUGUUGGUGGGGUAGUGGCUUACCAAGGCUUUGACGGGUAGCCGGCCUGAGAGGGUGACCGGCCACAUUGGGACUGAGAUACGGCCCAGACUCCUACGGGAGGCAGCAGUGGGGAAUAUUGCACAAUGGGCGGAAGCCUGAUGCAGCAACGCCGCGUGCGGGAUGACGGCCUUCGGGUUGUAAACCGCUUUCGCCUGUGACGAGGCGUCAGUGACGGUAAUGGGUAAAGAAGCACCGGCUAACUACGUG